rnacentral:rRNA from 1 species
GAUGAACGCUGGCGGCGUGCCUAAUACAUGCAAGUCGAGCGAACAGACGAGGAGCUUGCUCCUCUGACGUUAGCGGCGGACGGGUGGGUAACACGUGGAUAACCUACCUAUAAGACUGGGAUAACUUCGGGAAACCGGAGCUAAUACCGGAUAAUAUAUUGAACCGCAUGGUUCAAUAGUGAAAGACGGUUUUGCUGUCACUUAUAGAUGGAUCCGCGCCGCAUUAGCUAGUUGGUAAGGUAACGGCUUACCAAGGCAACGAUGCGUAGCCGACCUGAGAGGGUGAUGGGGCAGACUGGAGCAGCGAAGCGGACCGGACUCCUACGGGAGGCAGCAGGAGGGAUUAUUCCGCGAUGGUGUAAAGACUGAAGGAGCAACUCCGCGUGAGAGAUGAAGGUCUUCGGAUACUAAAACUCUGUUAUUAGGGAAGAACAAAUGUGCAAGUAACUAUGCACGUCUUGACGGUACCUAAUCAGAAAGACACGGCUAACUACGUG